UUAAAGACUUUACCAGACAAGCUGAGAGUUGUUGCAUGGCCGUCGCCAGCUCGUGCCGUGAGAUGUCCUGUUAAGUCAGGUAACGAGCGAGAUCCCUGCCUCUAGUUGCCACCAUUACUCUCAGGAGUAGUGGGGCGAAUUAGCGGGACCGCCGCAGUUAAUGCGGAGGAAGGAAGGGGCCACGGCAGGUCAGUAUGCCCCGAAACUCUGGGGCCACACGCGGGCUGCAAUGGUAAUGACAAUGGGUUCCGAAUCCGAAAGGAGGAGGUAAUCCCCAAACAUUACCACAGUUAUGACUGAGGGCUGCAACUCGCCCUCACGAAUAUGGAAUCCCUAGUAACUGCGUGUCAUUAUCGCGCGGUGAAUACGUCCCUGCUCCUUGCACACACCGCCCGUCGUUUCA
rnacentral:rRNA from 1 species